UUCAAGAUAUCUCGAUUGUAGUUUUGACUAGUCAUAAUUCUAAUUAAAGAUAUCUCUAAUUAGUCCAUAAUUCAAGAUAUCUUAAAUGUAUUUUUGGAUAGUGGAAAUGUAGUUUUGACUAGUGGAAAUUAAAUUAUAGAUAUCUUAAAAGCAAAUAAUGACUAGACAAAACUAAAUUAGAGAUAUCUUGAAUUAUAAUAUUGACUAGUCAAAAUUCCUUUUAAGAUAUCUCUAAAUGAAUUAGAGAUAUCUUGAAUUAUUCAACUUUUCUAUUUAAGAUAUCUUAAAUGAACAUUCUGACUAGUCAAAAUUACGUUACAGAUAUCUUGAAUUAGCGUUCUGUCUAGUCAAAACGUCACUGAUUUACGUAGCAUUUUGGCGGACAGGGCGUACAGCAUUCCAGCUUCAAGCUAGUUGACUGUUCAGCGGUUCACAAUGUCAGGUCAGUCCAGCUCAAAUACUCGUGUUUUUAACACAAUAUUUAGCGCGGCAGCUCGUGCUCGACAUGAAUUAAGAAAUACUGAUAAUUUAUUUACAGCAACAAGAAGACUUUUUCGGCGUCAGGUGCAGAGAAGUCGAGGAUCGGUCGGGAGGCAGCCAAGUGUUGUCUGGAAGACAAAUAUUUUUUUGCUUUCUGGCCCUAAUGUUGAUGUUCUUCCUUCUCCCUCGGAUGUACGAAGACUGAAAAACCAUGGAUUAGAGUCACUUGGCGGGC